rnacentral:misc_RNA from 1 species
GCUCUUAAGAGCCAUUUCACAAAAAUCGGUAACAAUCCGCGAAAUUGUAAUAUUUUGACGUCGUUAAUCUCAGUGUUGGAUGCAAUAAUGUAAUUUAUAUUCUUGAAAUAUAAUAGAGCAACCUUUGUUGUAGCCCAUAGUCAGAUCAGAAUUUUGAUUUAUAUUAUGUGUAUAAAAUUAUUAACCUUUUCAUCAGCCUCCUCCCUGGGUAAACGGUCGCAAUGUAUACUUUGAAGUCCUACUUUUCAAUAACCUCUACGUUGAAACCAUUUUGAAAAAAUAUCAUAAUAUGUGGAAUAUAAUUUUUCUAUAUACUAAAAAAAAAAAAAAAAAAAAA